GGGGAUAUAGCUCAGUGGUAGAGUGCAUGCUUAGCAUGUGUGAGGCAUGGGACCAAUUCCUACCCCCC
rnacentral:tRNA from 1 species